rnacentral:rRNA from 1 species
GUGGGGAAUUUUGGACAAUGGGCGCAAGCCUGAUCCAGCAAUGCCGCGUGCAGGAUGAAGGCCUUCGGGUUGUAAACUGCUUUUGUACGGAACGAAAAAGCUCUGGUUAAUACCUGGGGCUCAUGACGGUACCGUAAGAAUAAGCACCGGCUAACUACGUGCCAGCAGCCGCGGUAAUACGUAGGGUGCGAGCGUUAAUCGGAAUUACUGGGCGUAAAGCGUGCGCAGGCGGUGAUGUAAGACAGUUGUGAAAUCCCCGGGCUCAACCUGGGAACUGCAUCUGUGACUGCAUCGCUGGAGUGCGGCAGAGGGGGAUGGAAUUCCGCGUGUAGCAGUGAAAUGCGUAGAUAUGCGGAGGAACACCGAUGGCGAAGGCAAUCCCCUGGGCCUGCACUGACGCUCAUGCACGAAAGCGUGGGGAGCAAACAGGAUUAGAUACCCGGGUAGUCC